AUGUCGAUAGCAACCAUUUGAAUCAUUUAAAGAGCAAUCAAGUAUUACAGCCUUUCGCACCUUCCUUAAAAUUCAUCAAAUGGACAAAAUGGUUUUGGAAGAACUUGAAAUUGCAACUGAGUGUAGCUUAUCUGCAUUCUCAGAAUACAUUCAUUUUGUCAUUUUUGGUGAAGAAAUUUUCAUGGAUGAAAUCAAAACCAUCACAGGUUGCUGUUAACCAGGUAUAAAGACAUCUGUAAAAACUCAAUAAGAAACUCAUUUAUAAUGUAGCUGUAUGAACCAGAUACGUACGCAUGGCAUCAAGAUUAGCAAUUACAUGAUCAGCAGCUACCAUUGAAAUAACAAAGUGAAGAGCUUUGUAUCUUCGAGCAUAAAAUCAAUUCUUGUGAAAAGCAAAACGGCAACAGCGUGCUGAUCAGGUUGUAGUUGCAAAGGAAGGGGUAAAAGAACCUGAAAAAGAUGAACAUAGUAAACUAAAUACUGAUCAUAUGCCAGAGGCAAUUUGUCAACAGUUCCCAACAGCCAAGGAACAUACUGACAAGUCAGUUGUAAAUGAUAUUUCGUCAGACAAAGACAAUGAGCUGUCAGUUGUGCAAGACGGCAUAAGACGGCACAAAAACGACGAAGCAAUUGACGAUACG